rnacentral:rRNA from 1 species
CCUACGGGUGGCUGCAGUGGGGAAUAUUGGACAAUGGGGGGAACCCUGAUCCAGCCAUGCCGCGUGUGUGAAGAAGGCCCUCGGGUUGUAAAGCACUUUCAGUGAGGAAGAACGCCUGGUGGUUAAUACCCAUCAGGAAAGACAUCACUCACAGAAGAAGCACCGGCUAACUCCGUGCCAGCAGCCGCGGUAAUACGGAGGGUGCGAGCGUUAAUCGGAAUUACUGGGCGUAAAGCGCGCGUAGGUGGCUUGAUAAGCCGGUUGUGAAAGCCCCGGGCUCAACCUGGGAACGGCAUCCGGAACUGUCAAGCUAGAGUGCAGGAGAGGAAGGUAGAAUUCCCGGUGUAGCGGUGAAAUGCGUAGAGAUCGGGAGGAAUACCAGUGGCGAAGGCGGCUUUCUGGAAUGAUACUGACACUGAGGUGCGAAAGCGUGGGUAGCAAACAGGAUUAGAUACCCCUGUAGUC